rnacentral:rRNA from 1 species
UACGUAGGGGGCUAGCGUUGUCCGGAAUCAUUGGGCGUAAAGAGCGUGUAGGCGGUCCGGUAAGUCCGUUGUGAAAGUCAGGGGCUCAACCCUUGGAUGCCGGUGGAUACUGUCGGGCUCGAGUCCGGAAGAGGAGUGUGGAAUUCCUGGUGUAGCGGUGAAAUGCGCAGAUAUCAGGAGGAACACCAAUGGCGAAGGCAGCACUCUGGGACGUGACUGACGCUGAGACGCGAAAGCGUGGGGAGCAAACAGG